CUAUUGUUCAACAUAGGGGUGUGUAAAAAACUGCCAGAUUUGACUGCAUAUUUUUCUUUUUUUUUGAAAAAAAUAUAUAUCAAACCUUAAUAAUGCAGCUUUCUGAGUGUCCAAUUUUUAACGUGUUCCGAAAUGUAGUUUCGUCACAAGAAUUUUUCAAAGUGGGUCAUUUUGUCUAUAUGAAUGUCGGUAAAUUCGUAUGAUCGAGCACACCGACAAGUGUAUCGUUGGGACAACUCG
rnacentral:lncRNA from 1 species